rnacentral:rRNA from 1 species
AUUGAACGCUAGCGGGAUGCCUUACACAUGCAAGUCGAACGGAGUGGCGAACGGGUGAGUAAUGUAUCGGAACGUGCCCACUAGCGGGGGAUAACUACGCGAAAUCGUUGCUAAUACCGCCUACUAUUGGAGCGGCCGAUAUCGGAUUAGCGAGUGGGUGGGGUAACGGCUCACCAAGGCGACGAUCCGUAGCUGGUUUGAGAGGACGACCAGCCACAAGGGGACUGAGAAACGGACCAGAAGAAUACGGGAGGGAGCAGUGGGGAAUAUGGGAAAAUGGGGGAAACCCUGAGAGAGCGAUCCCGGGUGUGGGAGGAAGGGAUUGGGGUUGAAAAGCACUUUUGGCAGGAAAGCGGUACCUGCAGAAUAAGCACCGGCUAACUACGAGCCAGCAGCCGCGGUAAUUC